rnacentral:rRNA from 1 species
GCUGGCGGCUAGCCUAACACAUGCAAGUCGAACGGCAGCGCGGGCUUCGGCCUGCCGGCGAGUGCGGACGGGUGAGUAAUGCUUGGGAAUCUGCCCAGUAGUGGGGGACAACACGGCGAAAGCCGUGCUAAUACCGCAUACAUCCUACGGGAGAAAGCGGGGGAUCUUCGGACCUCGCGCUAUUGGAUGAGCCCAAGUCGGAUUAGCUAGUUGGUAGGGUAACGGCCUACCAAGGCAACGUACCGUAGCUGGUCUGAGAGGACGAUCAGCCACACCGGAACUGAGACACGGUCCGGACUCCUACGGGAGGCAGCAGUGGGGAAUAUUGGACAAUGGGCGAAAGCCUGAUCCAGCAAUGCCGCGUGUGUGAGUAAGGCCUUCGGGUUGUAAAGCACUGUCGGGAGGGACGAAAAAUUCGGGGUAACGCCCGGACUUGACGGUACCUCCAAAGGAAGCACCGGCUAACUCUGUGCCAGCCGCCGCGGUAAUUCGGGC